GCGUUUGAACUCUAAGAGGAUGCACACAAAGUGCGACUGAGUUUAGAAACAAACAUAAAGAUUGUAAAUUAGUCAAAGUUGAAGAAGCCACGGGUCACAAUGAAGACUGUGAUGUUUUUGACUCUCCUGGGAUUAUUCCUACAUGACACGACGGCAGUGACUCACUCUCUGCAGUAUUUCUACACGGCAUCGAUUGAAGUCCCAAACUUCCCAGAGUUUGUGGCUGUUGGCAUGGUGGAUGAGCUUCAGAUAGAUUGUUAUGACAGUAACAUCAAGAAGGAUGUACCCAAACAGGAGUGGUUUAAAAAAUUCACAGAAAGUGUACCUAACUACUUGGCAGUGGAAACUGGGAAACAACAGGGUCACCAGCAGACCUUCAAAGGCAACAUUGACAUUGCUAAGCAGCGCUUCAACCAAACUGGAGGUGUACACAUUGCCCAGGAGAUGUACGGCUGUGAGUGGGACGAUGAGACUGGAGAGGUUAAUGGUUACUUUCAAGAUGGUUAUGAUGGAGAAGACUUCAUUGCUCUGGACAUGAAGACAAUGACAUGGGUCGCUCCUAUACCUCAGGCUGUCAUCACCAAACACAAGUGGGAUCAAAACAAAGCUAGGUUAGAUUAUCUAAAGAACUACCUCACCAAGGAGUGUGUUGACUGGCUGAAGAAGUAUGUGGACUAUGGAAAGAGCUCUCUGAUGAGAACAGACCUCCCCACAGUGUCUCUCCUCCAGAAGUCUCCCUCCUCUCGGAUCACCUGCCACGCUACAGGUUUCUACCCCAACAGAGCCGUGAUGUUCUGGAGGAAAGAUGGAGAGGAGCUUCAGGAGAACGUGGACCACGGAGAGAUCCUCCCCAACCCUGAUGGAUCCUUCCAGAUGAGUGCUGACCUGGAGCUUCCCUCUAGAGACUGGGAGAAGUACGAGUGUGUGUUUCAGCUGGCUGGUGUGAAGGAGGACAUCGUCACCAGACUGGAGAAAAGAGAGAUCAAAACCAACCAUGUGGAUCCCAUCAACAUGAUCAUCCGCAUCAUCGCUGGAGUCCUGAUUGGUGCAGUCAUCCUUGCUGGCGUUGGAUAUUGGAUUUACAAGAAGAGAGCACGAAAAUGAAGACCUUAAAUUUCAGCAGAUCAACCAGAUGGUCAAAUAUCUAAGCCAUACGCCCUCCAUCUUCCGUCAGCGACUCUGGUGUGGAACAACAAAUGCUUGAGAAACCAUCACCCUAAAAGACAAAGACACAAGCCUGAACUCAGUUUAUGGAGACAUUUAUCACUGAAGCAAUGAGCAGAUCUAAAAAUUUCUCUGGUGCUCCAUUUGCUCUUCAUCAUUGAAGACAUAAACUGAUCAGGGAAGAAUUUGAUUUUAGAUCCUUAUUGACUGAAAAA